UACAGAGGGUGCGAGCGUUGUCCGGAAUCACUGGGCGUAAAGGGUGCGUAGGCGGCUCGGUAAGCGUGUGGUGAAAGCCCGGGGCUCAACCCCGGGUCUGCCGUGCGAACUGCCGGGCUGGAGCACAGUAGAGGCGGGUGGAAUUCCGGGUGUAGCGGUGGAAUGCGUAGAUAUCCGGAAGAACACCGGUGGCGAAGGCGGCCCGCUGGGCUGUUGCUGACGCUGAAGCACGACAGCGUGGGGAGCAAACAGG
rnacentral:rRNA from 1 species